UUUGCAUGCAACCAAGAGACUAUUCUUACACGUCGUCCGAGACGGACUGGCAACCGGUAAACAUGUUGGGUGCUCUUGGAUCAAAAGGUGAACCUCCCUUGACUGUCGCUUCGACGGGUACCGGACAUGUAGGUUGUCAGUCCAUCUACCCAGGUGUCAUCGCCUCGUUUGAUAGCAUAAACUCUUGGUGCCUCUAUCUGUCUCUUCAUGAGUGGAACCUCUGAGUCUUUGGCAUAUAUUCCGAUCUGUUUUUGCUUCUUUUGGGAGUGACUGUUUUUCUUUCCUCAAUUUACCAAAAGGAGAAAGAGGAUUAAAGCAGGAAGAAGAGAGAGAAACAAGGAGUGAACAUCUGAAAUCUAGGGUUUCCAUGGAUUUCCAUAUGUGCAAAAACUGAGAAAUUCUUCCUU